rnacentral:tRNA from 2 species
UCCGAUAUAGUGUAGGGGCUAUCACAUCACGCUCUCAUCUUUGAGGACCGUGGAGACCGGGGUUCGAUUCCCCGUAUCGGAG